rnacentral:rRNA from 1 species
GGGUGACAGGUGGUGCAUGGUUGUCGUCAGCUCGUGUCGUGAGAUGUUGGGUUAAGUCCCGCAACGAGCGCAACCCUCGACCUUAGUUGCCAGCAUUCAGUUGGGCACUCUAAGGUGACUGCCGGCUAAAAGUCGGAGGAAGGUGGGGAUGACGUCAAAUCAUCAUGCCCCUUAUGACCUGGGCUACACACGUGCUACAAUGGGCGGUACAAAGGGUCGCGAACCCGCGAGGGGGAGCCAAUCCCAAAAAGCCGCUCUCAGUUCGGAUUGCAGGCUGCAACUCGCCUGCAUGAAGCCGGAAUCGCUAGUAGUCGCGGAUCAGCAUGCCGCGGUGAAUACGUUCCCGGGCCUU